rnacentral:rRNA from 1 species
CAUAGGUUAAUGAGGCGAACCGGGGGAACUGAAACAUCUAAGUACCCCGAGGAAAAGAAAUCAACCGAGAUUCCCCCAGUAGCGGCGAGCGAACGGGGAGCAGCCCAGAGCCUGAAUCAGUGUGUGUGUUAGUGGAAGCGUCUGGAAAGGCGCGCGAUACAGGGUGACAGCCCCGUACACAAAAAUGCACAUACUGUGAGCUCGAUGAGUAGGGCGGGACACGUGGUAUCCUGUCUGAAUAUGGGGGGACCAUCCUCCAAGGCUAAAUACUCCUGACUGACCGAUAGUGAACCAGUACCGUGAGGGAAAGGCGAAAAGAACCCCGGCGAGGGGAGUGAAAAAGAACCUGAAACCGUGUACGUACAAGCAGUGGGAGCACGCUUAGGCGUGUGACUGCGUACCUUUUGUAUAAUGGGUCAGCGACUUAUAUUCUGUAGCAAGGUUAACCGAAUAGGGGAGCCGAAGGGAAACCGAGUCUUAACUGGGCGUUAAGUUGCAGGGUAUAGACCCGAAACCCGGUGAUCUAGCCAUGGGCAGGUUGAAGGUUGGGUAACACUAACUGGAGGACCGAACCGACUAAUGUUGAAAAAUUAGCGGAUGACUUGUGGCUGGGGGUGAAAGGCCAAUCAAACCGGGAGAUAGCUGGUUCUCCCCGAAAGCUAUUUAGGUAGCGCCUCGUGAAUUCAUCUCCGGGGGUAGAGCACUGUUUCGGCAAGGGGGUCAUCCCGACUUACCAACCCGAUGCAAACUGCGAAUACCGGAGAAUGUUAUCACGGGAGACACACGGCGGGUGCUAACGUCCGUCGUGAAGAGGGAAACAACCCAGACCGCCAGCUAAGGUCCCAAAGUCAUGGUUAAGUGGGAAACGAUGUGGGAAGGCCCAGACAGCCAGGAUGUUGGCUUAGAAGCAGCCAUCAUUUAAAGAAAGCGUAAUAGCUCACUGGUCGAGUCGGCCUGCGCGGAAGAUGUAACGGGGCUAAACCAUGCACCGAAGCUGCGGCAGCGACGCUGAUGCGUUGUUGGGUAGGGGAGCGUUCUGUAAGCCUGCGAAGGUGUGCUGUGAGGCAUGCUGGAGGUAUCAGAAGUGCGAAUGCUGACAUAAGUAACGAUAAAGCGGGUGAAAAGCCCGCUCGCCGGAAGACCAAGGGUUCCUGUCCAACGUUAAUCGGGGCAGGGUGAGUCGACCCCUAAGGCGAGGCCGAAAGGCGUAGUCGAUGGGAAACAGGUUAAUAUUCCUGUACUUGGUGUUACUGCGAAGGGGGGACGGAGAAGGCUAUGUUGGCCGGGCGACGGUUGUCCCGGUUUAAGCGUGUAGGCUGGUUUUCCAGGCAAAUCCGGAAAAUCAAGGCUGAGGCGUGAUGACGAGGCACUACGGUGCUGAAGCAACAAAUGCCCUGCUUCCAGGAAAAGCCUCUAAGCAUCAGGUAACAUCAAAUCGUACCCCAAACCGACACAGGUGGUCAGGUAGAGAAUACCAAGGCGCUUGAGAGAACUCGGGUGAAGGAACUAGGCAAAAUGGUGCCGUAACUUCGGGAGAAGGCACGCUGAUAUGUAGGUGAAGCGACUUGCUCGUGGAGCUGAAAUCAGUCGAAGAUACCAGCUGGCUGCAACUGUUUAUUAAAAACACAGCACUGUGCAAACACGAAAGUGGACGUAUACGGUGUGACGCCUGCCCGGUGCCGGAAGGUUAAUUGAUGGGGUCAGCGCAAGCGAAGCUCUUGAUCGAAGCCCCGGUAAACGGCGGCCGUAACUAUAACGGUCCUAAGGUAGCGAAAUUCCUUGUCGGGUAAGUUCCGACCUGCACGAAUGGCGUAAUGAUGGCCAGGCUGUCUCCACCCGAGACUCAGUGAAAUUGAACUCGCUGUGAAGAUGCAGUGUACCCGCGGCAAGACGGAAAGACCCCGUGAACCUUUACUAUAGCUUGACACUGAACAUUGAGCCUUGAUGUGUAGGAUAGGUGGGAGGCUUUGAAGUGUGGACGCCAGUCUGCAUGGAGCCGACCUUGAAAUACCACCCUUUAAUGUUUGAUGUUCUAACGUUGACCCGUGAUCCGGGUUGCGGACAGUGUCUGGUGGGUAGUUUGACUGGGGCGGUCUCCUCCUAAAGAGUAACGGAGGAGCACGAAGGUUGGCUAAUCCUGGUCGGACAUCAGGAGGUUAGUGCAAUGGCAUAAGCCAGCUUGACUGCGAGCGUGACGGCGCGAGCAGGUGCGAAAGCAGGUCAUAGUGAUCCGGUGGUUCUGAAUGGAAGGGCCAUCGCUCAACGGAUAAAAGGUACUCCGGGGAUAACAGGCUGAUACCGCCCAAGAGUUCAUAUCGACGGCGGUGUUUGGCACCUCGAUGUCGGCUCAUCACAUCCUGGGGCUGAAGUAGGUCCCAAGGGUAUGGCUGUUCGCCAUUUAAAGUGGUACGCGAGCUGGGUUUAGAACGUCGUGAGACAGUUCGGUCCCUAUCUGCCGUGGGCGCUGGAGAACUGAGGGGGGCUGCUCCUAGUACGAGAGGACCGGAGUGGACGCAUCACUGGUGUUCGGGUUGUCAUGCCAAUGGCACUGCCCGGUAGCUAAAUGCGGAAGAGAUAAGUGCUGAAAGCAUCUAAGCACGAAACUUGCCCCGAGAUGAGUUCUCCCUGACUCCUUGAGAGUCCUGAAGGAACGUUGAAGACGACGACGUUGAUAGGCCGGGUGUGUAAGCGCAGCGAUGCGUUGAGCUAACCGGUACUAAUGAACCGUGAGGCUUAACCUUACAAC